UAGGCGGCAAUGAAGAUUAAAUUUUUUUGUCCUCUCUCUUAAUUACUCUCAAACCUCAAUACUCAGACCCUAAUUUCGUUGACCCCAUCGCUUCAAUCGCUAGGAGGGCUCAAUCUUGGUGAUCGAAAGGAAGACCGAAGACCUAAUAUCCUAAGACGGUGAGAAGGGCUACACGUUGUUCAAUCACAACUGCAACCCACCUUCAACCCUAGAGUUUUCGUGACGCGGCUGCAAUAUCAGGAAAGAAGGAAGGCCUCCCAAUAAGAAAGCAUGAAGUCAAUGAAGAAAACAUACUUAAGGGGCUGGUCUAGCUGCUUAAGGGUUACCUCUUCUCUAGAGCGUAAGGAACAAAUAGAGAGGCCUAGGAGAAACAAUGCAUUCAAAGAGAAAACGAGGAAAGGAAGAAAAAGGAAGCCAAAGAUGCAGAGUUAAAUGAAGAAAAAGUGAAUGUUGGGGAAUAAGUAGCCGUAGGAAGUAAAUCUGAUGAUGAAGCAGGGGCUCAUGAUCACUCACCUUCGGAUGAGGUUUUUGAAGAAGGAAACUGUUACUACAAUAAGACUAAAUUUAAUCAAUUUGAGCAAGCGACAACAAAUCUAGUUCAAAUGUAUUAUGAGUUUUAUAAUAGUUGCAGAGUUCUGAGAUGAGGUUCUACCAAGUCGGAGAUGAAGUUUUCCUCAAAAGCAUUAUAAACUCUACCGAGACUGUAACAAGAGGAAGGGUCCAGAGCUUGGACCCAAAUGAUCUAGUUGGUUGUACAGAGAUUGGACCAGAAUGGUGUGAGAUAAACGUUCAAGUACAAAUAAAAAAAAGAUGAAAACUUGGUAAGACCAUAUGGUUUAUUAACUUAUUUUCUACAACUCAAGAUUGUAUUGGUGCAUCCAUCGCAUGGCCCUAUUCAGUUAUCUCGGUAGUCCAUGAGGAUUGAGGACGCAUGAUGACUCAAGAUUUUAUGCUUCUUAUUUCUUUAAUUGCUUUUAAUUUAUUUGUUAAAUGUUAAGACUUUAUGUUAGAUAAUGUUAUAACUUACUGAUGGUUA